UGAGGGCUCUUUACUAAGGUUCCCCUGCCAAGUAGAAACCUGAGGAAAAGGUUAAAUGCAACAACUGCUGAGUAAAUGCCCUGCCAGAUAUUUUUGCUGAGAAUUUCUCAAGUUGAUUCCAGCAAAGUGGUGGGUUCCCAUUAAGAGGAACUGGCUCCCUUUCCGACUUAGUCACAGAGUUUUAUUCGUGAUCUAUCAUCAUUCCAAACACGUCGUUGUCUGGUAUGACUAUAAGACAUUUGCUCAUUGGGAAGGAGGGUGUACUGUAAAGAUCCCAGUAGCCUUGGACACUAUUCCAGUGUUUCAGCGAGGUGGAAGUGUGAUACCAAUAAAGACAACUGUAGGAAAAUCCACAGGCUGGAUGACUGAAUCCUCCUAUGGACUCCGGGUUGCUCUAAGCACUAAGGGUUCUUCAGUGGGUGAGUUAUAUCUUGAUGAUGGCCAUUCAUUCCAAUACCUCCACCAGAAGCAAUUUUUGCACAGGAAGUUUUCAUUCUGUUCCAGUGUUCUGAUCAAUAGUUUUGCUGACCAGAGGGGUCAUUAUCCCAGCAAGUGUGUGGUGGAGAAGAUCUUGGUCUUAGGCUUCAGGAAGGAGCCAUCUUCUGUGACUACCCACUCAUCUGAUGGUAAAGAUCAGCCUGUGGCUUUUACGUAUUGUGCCAAAACAUCCAU
rnacentral:lncRNA from 1 species